AAAUAGCCGCCGGAAAGAACGGGUAUCAUUGAUGUUGAUAAUCAUGGGGUAGUUAUAGCCCCGCUAU
rnacentral:tRNA from 1 species